rnacentral:rRNA from 1 species
AUUGAACGCUGGCGGCAGGCCUAACACAUGCAAGUCGAGCGGAGCGGCGGACGGGUGAGUAAUGCCUAGGAAUCUGCCUGGUAGUGGGGGAUAACGUCCGGAAACGGGCGCUAAUACCGCAUACUAUCAGAUGAGCCUAGGUCGGAUUAGCUAGUUGGUGGGGUAAAGGCCUACCAAGGCGACGAUCCGUAACUGGUCUGAGAGGAUGAUCAGUCACACUGGAACUGAGACACGGUCCAGACUCCUACGGGAGGGAGCAGUAGGGAAUAUUAGGCAAUGGACGAAAGUCUGAUCGAGCCAUGCCGCGUGAGUGAAGAAGGUUUUCGGAUGGUAAAACUCUGUUGUUAGAGAGGCGUUAUCAAACCAGAAAGCAACGGCUAACUGCGUGCCAGCAGCCGCGGUAAUAC